GCCGCAGCAAAAUCUGCGGCCGGGUUUGGCGACCCGGAUAGCUAUGGCGCACAGCCGCUUCAGCGGUUUUUUU
rnacentral:sRNA from 1 species